ensembl:snRNA U6 U6 spliceosomal RNA
GUGCUCACUUUGGCAGCACAUAUGCUAAAAUUAGAACAAUAGAGAGAAGAUUAGCAUGCCCCUGUGCAAGGAUAACAUGCAAAUUCAUGAAGCAUUCCAUAUUUUA